GCCCAGUUGGGCCAGCGGGAUCAGGUCGGCGCCGCUCAGCCGCCCGAAAUUGUCAAAGCGCGGUUUCGCGCCGAUCAGCGCCAGCGCCUGCGCG
rnacentral:tRNA from 1 species